AUUGCCUCUUGGGUCUUUUGGCUAAGAUCAAGUGUAGUAUCUGCUUUCAUCAGCAUAAUAUCUAACACAUCCUCUAUUUGAGGAUGAUAUAUUACAUGGAUUUUUGGAGUGGGGAGAUGGAAUAGGAGGAGCUGGCUCCAUCCACUCCACGCAUUGACCAUGGUUGGCCUGUGGUGAGGCAGAACACUGUAAGACAU
rnacentral:snRNA from 1 species